rnacentral:tRNA from 1 species
UGGGAUAUAGUGCAAUGGUUAGUACGUCAGACUUUGACUCUGAAGGUGGGGGUUCGAAUCCCUCUAUCCCAA